rnacentral:lncRNA from 10 species
GGGCAGCCCGGGCUGGGACGCGGCCGGACCGCUGGAGCCGUGCGGGCUGGGGAAGAAGGAGACGUGUCUUUAGGAAGCAGAGAGGGUUCGAUUCUGGACUCCGCCCAUGACUCACUUCUCUUGUAAAGAAAGAGUUGUCCUUCCUGGUACUCCAGGUUUAUGGGAUGCAGGAUAAUGGAGCAUGCUCUAUCUGGGACAUUGCUAGUCUUAUGACAGAGGGAGAAGACAGCGAUGAGUUUUCGAAGAACUCCAGGAAGUGGCUGCAGAGCAAAGUAGGAUCCUGAUACUGAUCACACUUUUGUCAAGAAGCCAAAGAACAAAGUUGAUUAAAGCAUUAUGCCUGGAAAUAAAGGGGAACAGGACAUCAGCAAAAUUCUUUUUAUCCAUUCACACAUUGAAGACAUGUAAGAUCAAUGACACACAAAAUGGAAGAGAAAUCUUAAUCACACGUGUGAAGACUAGCAGGUAUUUUUUUCCUGUGCACAUCAACGGGCUGUAUUGUGGCAUAUACAUGAAAGGGUGAAGUGCUUGAUGUCUUUAGUUUAUGUUUUCCUAAAACUCCAUGCUACUAGGAGAGAGGAUUUUGUUUAAUUAACAAUUAUUUCAAGAGUCAUACUGUGAGAUGCAAUGUUAGGAUGGA